rnacentral:rRNA from 1 species
GACGAACGCUGGCGGCGUGCCUAACACAUGCAAGUCGAGCGGAGACAGUUUGGAGCUUGCUUCGAACUGUUUUAGCGGCGGACGGGUGAGUAACGCGUGAGCAACCUUUCUCUUACUGGGGAAUAACACCGGGAAACUGGUACUAAUACCGCAUGAGACCACAAUGUCGCAUGGCAUAGGGGUCAAAGAUUUAUCGGUAAGAGGUGGGCUCGCGUCUGAUUAGAUAGUUGGUGGGUAACGGCCUACCAAAGUCGACGAUCAGUAGCCGACCUGAGAGGGUGAUUGGCCACAUUGGGACUGAGACACGGCCCAAACUCCUACGGAGGCAGCAGUGGGGAAUAUUGGGCAAUGGGGGGAACCCUGACCCAGCAACGCCGCGUGGAGGAAGAAGGUUUCGGAUCGUAAACUCCUGUCUCAGGAAGAGCAGAAGUACGGUAACCUGAGGAGGAAGCCCCGGCUAAACUACGUAGCCAGCAGCCGCGG